CCCCUUUUAAAAGCACUCAGUGGGCCCUGACUCAUGACCCACUGAGCCGUCAAGAAAGGGCAGAGGAAAAACACUGCUUUUGGAUGAAGCAGCAGCAUGUUGUGUUGUUUUGCUUCAAUCGGUGAUAUGACAGGG
rnacentral:snoRNA from 3 species